UAAGUCUACAAGAAUACACAGAAGGAAAUACUUGGUAGCUACUUUCACUCGUGAUUUUGGCCGAUUUAGAGUUGGUUUUCGAAGAUGGUGAAGUUGAAGAAAAGAUAGAUUAAGGUAAGAUCUAUCCAUUUUUGUUGGUUUUGUUUGCAUGCAUGAUGUUUUUGUUCUGUUUGAUUAGUUCCUAAGUGUGUACUCUAUGUUGUUUUAGGCAUUAUUUCAGCACUUGGAGGAGUCAUUUGGAGUUUCUGGAGUAGGAUUUGCCGUGCUAAGUGAAGUACGAAGGGGGAGAUCAAGGUUGACUCUGUUCAUAUAUUACUGGUGACGGAUAUUUAUUCGAACUAUUUGGACGCUUAAUUGCAUUUGCAAGCACAUCCAUAUUGGACCUAAGGUUAUGGGUGAAGUGCCAGUGCUUUUGCAGGGGCCCCAUGACGCCGGGCACCGUUGCCACCUAUUUUUGAAACCAAAUACUAAGCAUGAUUAUCGGCCUUUCAGACUUCGAACCAUAAAGAAAACAUGGCCAAUACACAAUCAUUUCCUUGCUCACCUUGACGCUUAUGGACUACAAGGUUUUGCUAGGCUCACAUCAUGCGACGACCAAGUACGUUCGGACCCAUCCCUUUUGACAUCCCUCGUUGACCGGUGGAGACCUGAAACCCACACCUUUCACUUUCGUUUUGGGGAGCUUGCACCUACACUGAAAGAUGUUUCUA